rnacentral:rRNA from 1 species
UACGAAGGGGGCUAGCGUUGCUCGGAAUCACUGGGCGUAAAGGGUGCGUAGGCGGGUUUUUAAGUCAGGGGUGAAAUCCUGGAGCUCAACUCCAGAACUGCCUUCGAUACUGUUUGGCUUGAGUCCGGGAGAGGCGAGUGGAAUUCCCAGUGUAGCGGUGAAAUGCGUAGAUAUUGGGAGGAACACCAGUGGCGAAGGCGGCUCGCUGGACCGGAACUGACGCUGAGGCGCGAAAGCGUGGGGAGCAAACAGG